AUGAUGCUCCUCAACACCGUUUCCCUCACCGCCAUCUUGCUCGCUCUCUCAGGUUUGAAAGCUCUUGUGUUGACUCAGGAGAAGGUGAUAUCUGUUCAGGCUGGGCAAAAUGUGAAGAUUCUCUGUUCACCCAGCACUGAAGUGUCUUUCGCUAUUUCAUCUCCUCCGUCCCUCGUUCUGCUGGCUCCCUCUCAGUCUCUCUCCUCAGGUGAUGAAGUCAGGGUGGUUUGUCUGGCGCAGGGUUUCCGUCCUGACAGCGCCACUCUGUCCUGGUCUGAUAACGGCGACGCCGUAGCGGGUGCAGAGGUGCAGACGAGCUCGUCCGAGCGUCAGUCUGACGGCACCUUCAUCCAAAGCAGCAUGCUGAAACUCAGCCCAGAGCGCUGGAGCUCCGGACGAACCUACACGUGCCACCUGAACCACCCGGCUCUGUCAGCACCGCUGAGUCAGAGCGCCAGCGCUGAAAAGUGCAGCUAGACGGCUGGAGAAAUGGAUGUGCUGCACGUGUAGUAACGUGGUCAUCGGCAUGGAGAGAGAAGAAUAUCAUUUCUGUUGCACCUUUAAAGGCGCAGUGGAACAUUUAUCUGAAAUUAUAUUCUGUAGUUUUUCAUCAGCUUACUUCAAUAAAAUGAUUUCCAAAUAAAAUAUAAUAAGUGGAAUUUAUUUGCACACAUUUAUCUUCCAAACAUUAUUGUUUGCCACCAGUAAAUACUGACUGCCCGUUUGAUUGAAAACAAAAGGGUGUGGUCUCUGACUUUGGCCCAGUAAUAUACACUCACCGUCCAUUUUAAUAGGAACAGUUGUACUCCUUCCCAUUCAUGAAUGAAUCUUGGUUUGAGUAUGGGCAAAUAAAGCUAUUAUGAAAUAAAUAACCACGCUUUACCUCAGUGCUGCGUGGAAAAGCAUCUCAGAAAACACAACAUGUCAAACAGCCUAAGCUCACAUUAAAUUCUACUCAUUUCAGCCAAAACCAGAAAUCUGACGCUACAGUAUCCUCAAGCUCAUGGAAGCUGAAGGUAAAGUUUAAACAAUCUUCACCUGUCCAGAAACAAGUUUUUAAUGUUACAUUUACUCCUAAAACCCUUAUCUUUGUGCUCAGAAAGCAGUAAGACUUAUUCCAGAUGGUAAAAGUUAAAAAGCCAGACCCUUCCCUCCAAAAGUAUCUCAAUACCAUCACUGAACUUUCUUCUUUGUCUUUCUACCUAUACUUUGCUCUCUGAAUCUUAAUUUUUCAUUUUGUAAAUCAACACCAAAUGUAGAGAGCACUGUUUUGUUUUUUUUUGGCCUUAGAUUUGCAUGCAGUUUCAGUUCCCCGCCUGACCUUACACACGGCUCUUCAUGCUUCAGCUCCUCUUUCGUAUCUGUUUGCAGAUGUCCGGAAGCUGAACUUUCUGCACCCUGCUCUUUCUUCCUGCUCC